GCGGGGCGCGGGUCUCGGCGGCAGCGGGUGAGCGCAAGGACCGCCGAGGCCACGCUGUGGGUGCGGUUGUCCGUUCGUCCCCUGGGGAUGCCGUUGACUGCAGCGGCCUCAGGCUUGCGUGGGCUGUCUUUGCUCGGCCUCCCUGUCCUGGCGGCGUGGGAGCACAGAGGGACAGGCGGAGCAGCGCUUCCUGGCUGUGGACAGGAGCUGCUGAAGCUGGAGAGGCUAGAGAAAGUUAAAGAAGAAAUGGAGGGCCAUCUGGCCAGCAGCUGCCUCCCGCUGCAGGCAAGAGAAGACCCUGCCUCUCUGGGUGAGGAAGGAUCCCUCUUUGUAGUCCACAGCAGGUCAGACCACCAGGGUCGGUAUGCAUGACCAACAGCGCGGUACGGCCACGUGUGUAGGAGG